rnacentral:lncRNA from 1 species
AUAUUUCAAGCAUGGAUGCUGUUAAUCAAAUGGGUUAAGCAUCGCCAUAUAUAUGUCAAUCAUAGAUGUUGUUAAUCAAGCGGGUUAAGCAUAAGCACAACGAAAUUAGGAUAAAGUAUUCAAAAGACAAUAGAAAUCAAGUUGGAUACAAACAUAAACAACAUAGAACUAAAAACAAACACAUUUCAUCGUAAAAAGAAUAGUUUGAACUCGAAACAGAGAAUAGACCACAACAUAAAAUGGCCACCAUAAUAAGCCUAAUCAAGUGAAACAUCACACUGAAUUUUAUAGUGGAGUCUUCAAAACCCGUGACAUGUAUAAAAUUUAAUUUUUGCAUAAGACCACACUCAAUUUAAUUUUCUCAUGGGAAACAAACUUAAAAACCAAAUCAUAGUAAAUAUAAAAGUGAACCACCAUAUAAUGGACAAAUAUCAAUGUAGUUGACAAUUUUUCCAACAUUAUAAACCUUAUAUUAAGAUUUAUAAUUUUGCUCAUUAUUUCAAGUGUUGGGUGUUAUCACUAUGUAUUAUAUAAAGCUGAAAAAACUAAUAUGACAUGUUGUAUUGGAUUGAUAUGCACCACCACCCAAUUAUAUUCACACCAAGCAUGCUCCAUUUUUCUCUUUUAAAUGGCCCUGAAAUAACCAAAUCAAUAAAUGUAAUUCCUAAUAGCCAUUCUUUCUUUGUGACAUUUCUAAAUAAGACAUCAUUCACAAUGCUUCAUCACAAAAGACUAUGAGAUAAUUUCUACUUACAAUUCAAUCAAAUUGUGAUGAUCCAAAAGACCAUGGUACAAUUGAAGUUGUUCGAAAUCCUUAGCAUAUAAGCUUUGAUAACCUUUAUGACAAAGAAAAUGGAUAAUCACGAUGAUUUAGAUAUAGUGAUACAACUUAGCAUUAUUAACAAAUCCAAAUUAGAGUUUACCUUUGUAAAAUGCAUCAUAUGAUUACUAUCAAGGUACUUAUUAUGGACACAUGAANNNNNNNNNNNNNNNNNNNNNNNNNNNNNNNNNNGAUUAGGGAAUCUAGAUUCAGGAAAAAAAACCUUUAAUAUAUAGGAAGAAGGUUAUUAUUUGAGAAUAUAUAGGUUACUAUUCCUAAUUUGGGACAAAGGAGUACUAUAUGUUAUUAUUUGAAAGAAUGUUACUAUUUGUAAUUUGGGACAAAUGAGUGCUAUUUGGGACAUAUGAGUACUAUUCAAAAUAUAGGUAUAGGUAGGAGGAAUGAUUGCAUGAUAAGAAUUUUGUGAAUGACAUGAUAGCAAGUUCCAAGAAUACAUGUAAUCAAUAGAAUUGAUAAAGAAGUCAUGCCAAUAGAAUUCAUAACAAUGAAAUCAUUGCAUCAUGUGAAUGACACAUAAACAACUAACAUAUGAAAGCUGAGAAAGUAAAGGAACAAAAGACAACAUGUUGUCUACAAAUUUUAGGGAAUGAACAUAUUGAAAAAAAUUUAGUAUAAAUUGCUAAACAUAAAUUCAAAUUAAAAAAUGCUACAUAAAAAAAAUAGACUAAUUACUUAAAAGAAAAUUUAAAAUAUAAUUUAUUAAUCAUAAGUUACAAUGAUGGUAAAAUUAGUGUGAAUGUAGUUUUAGGAGGAGUUGGUUUACAUAGGGUUAAUGAAUUCAUCUAUGAAGACACUUAUUCAUUGGCAUACAUGCAUGAUGCCACUUGUCUCUUGACUUCUUUACACAUGUCAAAUGGAGCAAGAAAUAGAGAUAAUAGGUAUAAUCAUUAUAUGAUAGCUAGUAAUAGGGAUAAUCAUGAUAGGAAUAGCUAGUAAUAGAUAUAAUGAUGAUAGAGAAGCAAUGAUGGCAUUAUAUGAUCAUGAAAGGAAGGUUGCAUGUGAUGUUAGAAAGAUGUGGUAGAUUAAUCACCUAAUUAUUGAAUGAAGGAUAUCAAGAUGAGAUAUUGAGAACAUGUAAACUUGCUCACAUUAUUUGCAGCUUCNNNNNNNNNNNNNNNNAUCUUGCCAUUUAAGAAAGUAAACAAAAAAUUGGAAUCAACACAAUGAAGCUAAGUGAAAAUAUCAAAGUAAAUUAAAACAUUUCAUAUAAUUGAAAACACUUUUGACAAAAGGAAUCAAGAUUAUUCUUUAAAAUCAGUUUUUCUGCACAAACAUAGCAACAACACCUUAACUUUCGCAGUUUAAUUAAAAUACCAAACGAUAUCCGUUUUGAGUAAACGACCACUCGUUGGAAAGAUUAGGAUGUCAAGAUUACAGAUAUAAUUUUUGUUAUAAGUGUUAACCAUCCAAUUGGUCCAGUUUAACAAAAGAUUGGGUAUUGGUACAGAAACAGAUUUUUCUGCACAACCAUAGCAACAACACCUUAACUUUGGCAACUUAAUUAAAAUACCAAACGAUAUCCGUUUUGAGUAAACGACCACUCUUUUGAAAGUUUAGGAUGUCAAGAUUACAAAUAUAAUUUUUGUUUUGAGGUUUAACCAUCCAAUUGGUCCAGUUUAACAAAAGAUUGGGUAUCGGUGCAGAAACAGGACUAAAACUAUACUCAAACUUGUAGGUAGCUUUUCUCCUAUUAUACUUAUGGGAAUUUAACAUUUUCGGUGACUAAAUUGUAGGAAAUUUUGUCUUCUUUGUAGUGGAUUAAAAAUAUUUAGCAUAUGACCUAUAUUCAGAGAGUUAUACUAAAUUUACCACAUGUAUGUCUACACAAAUUUCACCUAAAUAUUUCUUCUUUUACAUGAACUUGCAGCCUAAACAUAUACUGUCCAUUUUAACUUAUAAAAUUUCUUUUGUCCAUCUUCUAGGGUCUUAGGGUUUGGUAUAAAAGAGAAAGAAUAAAAAGAGAAGGUUGGUUUGUCUUACCUUAGUUUUUCCAACACCCAAAAGCUUGAANNNNNNNNNNNNNNNNNNAGUUUUUCCAACACCCAAAAACUUGAAUCUAGGAGAAUUUCAUACAUGCAAAACUGAAGUUGAAAAAUAUAAAUUUGAGAGACUGAAAUUUGUUCAUAAAUCUGCAGAUUCAUCAAAUGAACUUAAACAAAUCAAUCAAGAAAAACAUAUCAAUCAAUAAGAAAUUGCAUACCCAAAAAAUUCAUAAAAAAAAAAAGAAUAAAAAUUGACCUUGUUGUUGACUAUGAUCCAUCAAUCUUUCUUGUGAUUGUGUUUAGCCAGAUCCUCAAAGGUUAAAAUCUUUGAUGUUGAACUCAUCUUCUUUUACUGCAAAAUCAUAAUAAUCAUUAUUGUUAUUAUUAAAAUUAAUCGAAUAACCCAUUCCCAAACCAAAACACAAUCUUCAAUCAAUAAAACAAACACCAAACAGAACAACUAAAAUAAAACAAACAAAGCAGAAAAUUGAUAGGGGAAGAACAGACAAAAAAAAACGAAAAAAAAUAAAGAAAGAAGCAAAACAGAUCGAACCAGAUGAAAGAAGCUCCGGCGGCGACGGUGGCCGGCGAUGGCUCGCCGGAAUCUGGGGAUGGGUGGUGGUGUUCUUGUUGUUCUUCAUGAUGUUCAUGAAGAUGGUGAGAAAAUAGAGAGAGAUAGUAGGGAGAAAAGAGAGAAGAGAGAGAAAGAAAUUUGAGAAAUAAAGAAAGUAGGAGAAAAGGAAAUAUAUAUUAGUGAAACAUAUAUGUGUCAAGAAGUGAUUGGCUAGAAAAUAGGAUUAGGUGUCAAUGUGAAGAUUGAACCCUAAAAUGAAAUGAAAACC